AGAGUUUGAUCCUGGCUCAGGAUGAACGCUAGCGGCAGGCUUAACACAUGCAAGUCGAGGGGUAACAGGGAUUGCUUGCAAUCUGCUGACGACCGGCGCACGGGUGCGUAACGCGUAUGCAACCUACCUUCUACAGGGGGAUAGUCAAUAGAAAUGUUGAAUAAUACCCCAUACGAUCAUUAAUCUGCAUGGAUUGAUGAAGAAAGUUUCGGCGGUAGAAGAUGGGCAUGCGUCCUAUUAGUUAGUUGGUAAGGUAACGGCUUACCAAGACAUCGAUAGGUAGGGGUCCUGAGAGGGAGAUCCCCCACACUGGUACUGAGACACGGACCAGACUCCUACGGGAGGCAGCAGUGAGGAAUAUUGGACAAUGGAGGCAACUCUGAUCCAGCCAUGCCGCGUGCAGGAAGACUGCCCUAUGGGUUGUAAACUGCUUUUAUACAGGAAGAAUAGUACCUACGUGUAGGUAUUUGACGGUACUGUACGAAUAAGGAUCGGCUAACUCCGUGCCAGCAGCCGCGGUAAU
rnacentral:rRNA from 1 species